UACACCAGACUGCCUCUGUUCUGGUUCCCAGGGAUGCUCAUUAGGGGUUGGAGCACAGGCAGGAGGUACUCCCCUGGAGUCCAUCUCCUGGUUUCCUUUCACUCAAAGGGAAUCCAGUUAAAAAAACCCGCUCCCUGGCAUAAAUCCAAACAGGCAAGUGGAGAAACAAAAACAGGCACAUAGAAAGACCUGUCAAAAGACCAAGGUCAGGAAACUGAGCCCAAAGACAUUGCUUUACCCUGAGGUCCCACAUGUGCAAACGGGUCAGUUAUUUGGCUAGUGAAACAGCUGUUUAGCUUGGCUGAGCAGCUCUGUUAUUCUGCUGAUCUAUUCUUCCCUCUUCAUACAGUUCCCUAACCUUCCCCUUUUCCAAACCCUCACACAGCACAUACAUAUAUAUAAAUAUAUAUAUACAUAAAAUACAUGUGUGUGCGUAGGCAGUUGUGUCUGCUGCCGGGAUUUCCUCCCAAACAAUGCCUGUUGUGCUGGCCACAGCAGUUCUCUCGGUUCCCAUGCUCAGAGCAGUUUCCUGCUGGCUCAGCAGCAAGACUUUCAGGGCUUUUUAUACUUAUUCUUCUUUGGGAGCCAAGCGGAGGAGCACAGUUUGCCUGUGAAUAGAGAGCAGGCUGGGCAGGCAGCAGGAAGCUUGCAUACUAAACUGUGCGAACUUUGAGAAGGGGAGGAAGGGGUGAGGGGCUGCUGGCUGGUGUUUGCUGCAGCCCUCUGCCUUAUACAUUUGUUAUCUCAGCAUAGGGAUGCUCCCUGCCAAAGUAUCUGUAAAAUGGCAGUGGAAAGAAGCAAGAGAGCUGAAAACGGAAUUAUGGAAGAAACAUGGGGAGAGCUUGGAGAGCAGAGAAAAGUGAGGAGGCUUGGGGGUUAAUUAUUCACGUGAAAACUUGUGGAUGGGUUCCCUACAUAGUGCUGCACUGCUGGGCUCACAGACCCGCUUGCUCACCCCCCAAGUCACUGCCCUGGCAGCGGCUGCACUCUCGUUUCUGGGUAGUGGCAGCUUUUCUGUAUUGCCCAGGCAAAAUUAAAACCACAGCAAUGAAAAUACACUCCUCUCUUGCCCCCUGCACUCUAUGCCUUUCUUUUGCUGUCAGCAAAAAAAGGAUAAAUAAAUGGGUUCCCAUUUACAAGGACAUCAUGGUGUUCUUAUGAAAAAGGGGUGUAAUGAACAGCACUGUGCACUGCUGGUGCCUGCUUGUUGGUUACAGGCAAAGACACUCCUGCAGCGGGGAGAGAGGUAAUUCGGCAGGUGCUGUGGCUUCAGCUCCGCUUCAAGUGUGCUUGGAGCAUCCUUGGAAUAAAGCAGGACGUGAGAGAAAGAAGGGAGGACAGGCUGAGCCCUUCUGCCUGCAGACCAGCUACCUGCCUCCUGCUUGUGUCCUCACAGAGGCUUGCCUGUGCUUUGGAAAUGAGGUGGCAGAGGAUUGCACAUGCUGCACAGGUGGUUCCUGAGCAAGAGUAUCCCAAUGUGGGCAUAGUGCCUUGGCAGGUGUUGGCAUGAUGUCCUGGUGCAGGGAGAGCUGACACACUGGCCUGGCAGGUAUUGCAGGGCAGGGCAGGGAACACCGUGCAUGUAUGUAGGAUCUAUUUUUAGGGUGAUAGCAAUAUGGGGAGAGCCAGCGGGUGGUGGAAAUGCUCAGCAGAGUGACAGACCAGAGGUGGGGUGAGGCUCAGCUAAGUAAGUCAUGUUGUAGCAUCAUUGCAGUGAUGCCACCCUCCUGGCCUCAUCUGAAACAAAAACACCCCCCGGCUUUCCCUGUGUUUGGCAACACCCUUCUCUGAGGGCGCCUAUUACUCCAGGCUCUAAAUAUCUACAAACACAAAGUAAAUUGGAGAAGCUGUGCCCUUGCCCCCCUGCCCAGCUCAGUGGCACUCUGUGUAUAGCCCCCAGUGGAGUGCCAAGUAAGGCGAUAUGUCUGCUUGGCACCUGCAUCCCCUUGGUGUCCUCCCAGGAUGAGUAACCUUGUCUGGAAGUCCUUGAGUGCUGGGGAGAUGGAGAGAUACAGCCCUGGGUCCCAGAGUGGGCCUGUGAGGAACCAAUGGAGGUCCUGGGGAGAGUCACCCACUGAGCUCAUCUAGAUCUCAAACAGCCUCUGCCUGCACAGCUUGUGGCAGAGCACAGGCACCUCCAGAGGUAACCAGUGCUUUCACCGUGGUCUUCUGUGAAUGUACAAGAGCAAUCCCAAAUUUGGGGAAUUUACCAUCAAAUUUGUGUACUUUCUGUUCAUCUCUGCUUCUGGCUCAGCAGCAGCUCAGUUUAAAUUACAGGUAAUUGAUGACUUUGGUGCUCUGUUUUUAAGGCUAGCCAACAUUUUGUGUAAGACCAAAUGUUUGGUUGCCUGUAACCCCCUGAAGACUUUAACCAUUUACCACUCAGGUGCUUUUUUCUGUCCUGGGUAUCUGUCCCAGGGUGAAUGCGUCUGGGAAGCUUCAGCAAAAAACGUUUUUGUUCGCUUACAAGAAAGAGACAAGGGAAACAGUUUUUUUCUUUAUAUUCCAACAUGUUCUUGAAGUGAUCUGUUGAGAACCUCUGCCACAUUCUGCCUUUGGAGGAGAGGCUUGAAAUCUGGCAGAUACCAGGAAUGUGCCUUUGGUUGUUCUUCAUGGGGGAAAAAAAUGUUGAACUAAGAAACCUCAGGUAAAAAAAGCUUCAGAUCUCAGACACUCCACAGAAACUUCUUAAGAGUUAGAAGCUGAAUUUUCUGAAGGUACUUGCUCAGUGGGAGCUUGCUCAAGUCCUGUGGGUAAAUCACAGAUGAGAGUACGGCAGGCACACUGUAGCCUCCUGCUGCAGGUGCAGAGCAGGAGCUCUUUGAAGUUGUUUUUCUGUGCUGACAGGGUCACUGUGGUGCUGGGAACCAGACCCAGAGAUGCUCUUGGAUAUUCUCCUUAGCUGAUCUUAGGUGAACACACGGGAAGGCUGGUGUUGACUAGGGCUAGGACCUGGCUGGGAGAGAAAGGGAGCCCUCCACCCGCUGCAGCCUCUUGCAGUGCGAAGGCUGAGGACCUCUUGCUGGAGGGAGGGACUGAUACAAGAUGUGGAGCUGGACCUGGGAGGAGGAUCAAAGCAGAAGACAGGCUGGAAGGACCAGGAGGAGUAGGAGGAGUCAGGUUUGGGAGUAUCUUUCCCCAUCAGAUCACACAUCCUGCAGAACCUGGGAUAUAGCAGACCCAGGGAUUUUUGCUGCACAGUAGCUAUCUGUUGUCAGCAAAUAUCUGGGGAAGCCAUUGGCACAGGCUGUUGACUCAUUCCUGCCUGCUCCCGCAGCAGAGGUUGAUGGGCUAUCAGUAUUCCCAGUUAUUCUGCUUUUCAAGCACAAUGGAAUUAACAUCUGAGAGUAAGAGCCAGUCCUGCCAGCAAGCCAUGUGGUGGCCAGUGUGAUGCCACAGGAUUCCUGCAUUCUUGUUUCAGUUUGCUGUUUGCAAAUCAAGGAAAUGACCCAAAUCCAAUGUAGAUUGGAAGCAUGGGAAGUUUGCAGGGUCAAGCAUUCGGUGGUUAGAAAUGCCUGAUUUAACACUGCCCUCACCACCUGAGCGCAGCUCUCAUCUGCACAAGCAUCGUCAUAGUGUUGCCUUUAGCUGCAGGAUCAAAUGCAUAUGUGUGUAUUAUUUCUCCCACAACAACUCUACCUCUUUUAAUGCUCAGAGUGGGUGGUUCUCAGUAGGUGAGUGGAGGCUGUGUGGGGAAGGGUCCUUAUCCUGCCUCGCUGCAGCUAUGCAGAGCGAGAGGAUCCCCACUCUGCCUCCAUGCCACAGCAGACUCCAUCCCUCAGCAAUGGUGACAGCAGGCACUGUCUGCGUCCUUGGCCUGCAGCAAGACCAAAACAGAUGGAGUCCUCGGAUAAAUUAUGUGCUGAACUCAAACAGGCCAUAUGCAGAGUGAAGUUUUGUGUAACUUGUAACUUGGCCACAGGUGGGAAAACUUAGGACCCUUGCAGAGGCACAUUCCACUUCCUUGGCUGGGUAUAUUGCCAGCCUCUGAAGACAGAGGCACUUGAUCUCUAUUUGAACAGAGCAAGCUGCCAUAUAUCUUGCUAAUCUUAUUCUAGGAGACAGUUGGAUUAUUUUAGCUGAAAAUUACCAAAAGAGUCUGCCUGAGGCAGGCAUCCAGCAUGGAGUGUUUGAGCUCGAGCAGCUGAGCUUUGGCAAAGCUGUGUGUAACGGAAGGCAGUCAUUAAUGGGAAGCGUUAAGAAACUUUAAUUCCAGACAGCACUUACAGGAGGAAAUGAGAAACUUUGGCUCUGUAGAUGGCUCCACCAGAAGAGACGUACAUGUACGAGUGAAAUGCUGCUGCUACACAGUCAGUUAGCUGAUUGCUACAGCGCAGUACUAACCUGCGCUUGUAAUAGGGCAUUUGCAGACGGCAGGGGUGGACUUGCUGUUUUGCAGACUUACCAGUUACUUUGUGGUUUGCUGUUGAAUCAAAUGCUGAGGAGAAACAGUAUGUUAGUGAUGGUAAAGGGUGGAGAGAAACAUGUUGGAUUUCUCUUUCCUUGUGGGAGGAGGAGGCGCAGAGGGAUGAGAUGCUGGUCCUGACCCUGCUGUCACGUGUGUGGCAGGCUGGCUUGCAGGAAGGUGUUAUUGUGGCUGUGAGUGGUCGUGGGGACCCCUCCCCGCUUGCCUGACAACCUCUGCACCGACAGAAGUUUCGGUAGGGGUUGAGGCUGGUGGCAGGGGGCUAGCAGCUCUUGCUGCUGGUUUGCACUUUCCUUUUCUGCAGGAAGAGGUAUUUUCCUUUCUUGUUACGCUUCACCUAGAGCUGUGUAAACAAGUACUCCCUCCUUGAUGUUGACACCUUCAAAUGAUUUUAUCUCCCUCUCGGGGAUUUAUUUGCCCGAACUUACAAUUUAGUUAUUUAAUCUUCCCCUUAGUUAUUUGAUUGUUGUUCAUUACUGAAUUCUUUCCAAUAUGCCAACAUCUCUUUGGCACAUGAGUGCCUGCAGUUGCUUUCUCUGCUUAGAGGAUGGCUCAGUCCCAGCAGCAUGCUGCAGAGAGAAGCCAUCUUCCUUCUGCUCUAUCAUACAAUGCUCUUUACCUCUCUGCAGGUCAAAAUCAGGACCUCUUAUUUUAUAAACCUGCAUCUAGUUUGCUACUCACGCCUAUCUGUAUGUUAGGCUCUUUUCAGCAGCUGCUGCAGAUUGUUUUUCCAGAUACAUUUCCUUGCAGUGCCAGUGUCCCAGGCAGGAGCUGCUAGAUGCUGUUUUCUUUUCCACUCCCCCAUCUUGGAAAUGUUUUUUUGUGAGCUUGAAGUCAUAACGAGAAACCCAAGCUCAUGCACGCUUCCUCAUCACUAAAUCCAAAAUGAUCCUUUCAAACCAGAAAUGCUUUGCAGGUUUGUAAUUCUGAGGCCUGGGAAACAAUUCCUUCCCAUUCACAGCCACACUAUGCACUCCCUGAGGCCUGGGCAGGCUGACAGGGCAGUUUGGUUAGACAGAAAGAAAGGGCAUUAAAAUGGUGAGCAGGGCUCUUCUGGUGAAGGGUGGGCCAGAGCUGUCUCAGUCCAGCCUGUGGUUACUAGUGUGUCCCUAAUGCAUUCUGCUGAAACUCAGGCGGAUGUUUGAAGAGCUGAUUGUUUGGACAGUGAAAAGCUUUGGAAUGAUGUAUGCCCUUUGUAUGUGCAGGUGACACUUCAUUUUUAUGUUCAAAGUGCAUUAGGAGCCAAUUUCAAGCCAGUCUGCAAAUGACACCUAAGCCCAGCCUGUGAAGCAUGCGCUGCCUGAAGAGCAUUUACUAGGAUGUCCAUGUAGAUUUCAUUUUUCUUAAGAAACCUUUUUGACUAUUUCUUCCCUGCAGGCAUUAGGCAUGGAAACAGGAUAGGUUUUGUACCUAACCUCACAAGCAGGGGGAGAGGCAGGCGGCUUUGUCUGGGUAGCUCCCCAGUGCCACUGCCUUAAACUGGCGGUGAACUGGAAGCUUCUCCAAGGCUAUGGGAGCCAAACGUCCCACCCUGUUUGCCUGUGGCAGCUGCGUUAAUUUUUUUUCCUUUUGAGGUCUGAACCCUUCAAAGCUUUGUUUUGUAUGGGUAAACAAAACCUAGCUACAGCCUAUGGAGAGACCUGGAAACCAUUUAGUACAGAAAGAUCACAGGGCUCUGGGAAUGAAUGCAGACUUCUUUUUAACUGGAAAUAAUGUAUACAUUUAAAGAGCAGAACAUGCAAAUACAUUCAUAAAGGCCAUUAUCAGGAGCUGCUGGCAGUUUCUCUGAGCAGAAAAGUCCUUGUCUUGGAGAUUUCUGCUACCCCUCAGGCUUCUGUCCACUUCUGUGUUAUUACUUGCAGUGUUUAAGCGCCAUUAAGUUUAAGUGCAUAAAUUUUCUUUGGCUAUUCAACCUCAACCACUUUUGGGAAGGAAUUGGCCAGAAUCCCUGAAUCUAAAAUAAUCAAAUGUCUGUCUUUCGCUUAAAAAGGCUGCCAUUUAUCUGACAAGCAGUGCAAAAUGGAACAGGUAGCUCAGCACAAGCAUCCUCCAAGAAACCUGUUCUUGCAAAACCAGGCAAGUGGCUUGCGCAUAAGCAGAUAAGGUACCUUUACCAAUGCCCGGGUUGUGCAUGGCAUGUCAGUAUAUUUGGUUUCGUAGCAAGUGUUACUUUUAUUGUCAGCCUCUUGGUUUCUACCAUUCUCUUUAGAAAUAUUCCAACCACAACCUGUAACCUCUACAGGCUCAUUCAAGGAGCAUGGCCUUUCAGACACUCCUUUCGUGAGUGUUUAUUGUGCUCCAGGGGAGGAUGUCUUUGUUUCAAGAUUGUUCAGGGUAUGAGAAAUAAAAAUCAAAAUGGAAAUAGCACAAAGAACCAAACAGGGUGGUUUUAAUGAAUUUCUUUCCAUACCUGCCAAUCCACCCUCCCCUGCAGGAAAAACAACUCUCCAACGAAUAAAGCAUAUGGCACAGAAAAUGGAGUGCUGAUGCCAAGUUUUCUUUGCCUUAGCAGAACUUGCUGCAAAAUGCUGAAUAUGCAGAUCUUCUCCUGAAAAUACUCUUUGAGAGAAAGAGGAAGGCAUAUUCCCACUGCCUUUUUAGCUGGCUGUGCGCUCUCACUGUUUAAAUCCUCAAUGGUAGGACAUUAUUGUGGUGCAGUGCUGGGCAGGCACACAGUACUAUGUUCAACCUAGCUGCUGUGGAAGCAGUGCAUGUGGUGGCAGCAAAGAUAACUCAUCAAUAGGGUGGGCUAAAUAUCUGAGAAGGAUCUGAAGCUCUUCAAUGAGCAGAGAGACAUCAACCCCCACAAGUUAUUUAUCCUAAAAUAGGUGUGGAGUGCAGUGAAAGGGUGCUUCUCUCUCCCCAAGCUCAGGGAAAACCCUCAGUUCAGCUCAGCCUGUGGCCAGCCAUGGCAUGACUGCUCCCAGCUCAGCCCCAUCAAGUGAGGCUCUAUGAGGACACAUUGCUGGUGGGUCCUGAUGUGUAGCACAGGUGAAUAGGACCUCACCACUAACCUGCUCAGCUAUUUCCUGAAGGAUAUAGGAUGCUGGAGGAACUUUAAGUGCCUCUCAGCCAUGCCUCUCCAUGGUUGGUCAAGAGCUGAAGAGGAGGUUUGAGUGUCUGAAUUAAGAAGUUAGGCAUCUAAGGCUUUUACUGGACUGUGUCUCUGUGGAGACUGAAGCUGAGCAGACUUAUAUAAAGGAAAAAAUCCCCUGCUGAGUUACUUUCAUCUUCCAGACAGCUAUGGAAAUGCUUGUGUUGUGUACUCUUACAGGUGUGUUUCUUCUAGAAGUACUCUCAAGCCUGAGAGAUAAGGCCAUCAUUUUAUCUGGACACUUGCCAUGGGGAUAUACCAUGGUUUGGGUAAGGGGUGCUGCUCUCCCAGGCAGUGCUUUGGCUUGUAGAUGUUUCAUAAGGUGGGAGGUGAAGUCCCCACCUUCAGACCCACAUGCCAGGAAAGCCUUCCACUAUGUGCAAGCAGUGUCUCUCUUCCCAAGAAGUAGAAGAUACCCAAUAGGGUGAAGAAAUUAAUGGGCUGGGGAGCUCCUUUGUUUAAACGAAUGCUAGGAAAGGAAGAGGGAGGCUUGAUUUUUCACAUAGUUAGUGUUCCCAAUCCUCUCUCUUUUUAGUCCUCUCAUGGCAACCUGUGUACUUUGCAGUUCAAAGUCACAUGAAUCUCUGCUCAGCAGAAAUGUGAAUGUUUUGAUAAAACUGUUCUUAACAAGUUUGAACCAUUUAAUCAGCUUUAUUAACUGCAGAGCUUUAUGGUCGUUAAUUGGGAAGGACUUACCAUAAACAUCCACUUUCUGUAAUUUCAUGAAGAAUGUGGAAGUACACAAGACUUUGUUGCCUUGGCAGCAGCAUGGGAGGUACCUGUCCCUGUCACCCAGCAGUAACCCUGCAGCUUCAGCCCUGGAGACUUUUGGGUGCUGAGCCUGCCCAUGAGACCAGGAAGGCACUGGACAGGAUGGACAUGCAGCUGGAAGCGUCUUAGUGGACCCUAUUUCUUUUCUCUUGAGUUUGCAUCUUCUGGAUGAUUAACUUCCCCUUCCAGUAAAAAUGCAGCAUGCCUCUUCUGACAAGUCCCACAAGAAAGGAAGCACGGCCAUCCACAACAGCACUCUCCUUAUUUUGGUUCAUAACCUGCCGCAGCCUGCACUGUAUUUCAGAGGCUGGCUGAACAAAAUCCCCAGGUUUGCCAGAAAGAGAAAAUAAGGUUGAUCAAAAAUCUCAGCUUGGGUACACGUCACAACUGGUCUUUCCUCCAUUUAACGUGGCAGACCAACAGGCUGUAAAAUACAUCCAGCUGGAAAGAAGAUCACUGUGUUUUACCGUGCCCAGCCUAAUUUUUCAGAGCUGAAUGUCCAGUCAUAUACCUGUGUGAAACCUGAGGCCCUGCAGGCUUAAUGCACAAAGUUUUUAUUUUAAUAGGCAGUUUGUUGCCCACAUUACAUGUUUCUAUGCCUUCUGGUCAAUAGCCCAGACUAGAGAAACCACGGAGAGACUGAAAAUGAAUGAGCUCUCCCUUAAAUUGAGUCUGCCCUGGAGCAACCAGGGCAUGGACAUAGUGUCUGCACCAGUGGGUUUGCUUUUGGGAGCUCCGGUCUCCUGUCACCUUGCUGUGCUGCAGAGCUGCUGCUCAGCAGAUCUGCGGGGUCUUGUCAUCAAAGUGCAUGGGCUGAGCAACGUGGUUUCACAGCUCUCUUCAAACAGCUUUGCACUUUUACUCCCACCUGACUCUGAAGUGGAACAGCCCCUGAGAAAACGGUGUUUCAUAAGAAAGGAAUGUUUUUUAUCCUUUGCUAGCACUUCCAUGGUCCUUCUGCAUGGAUGGCUCUCAGACUAGAAUGGUGCAGGAGGAGGCAUUUCUACCAGCAAACAACCUGGUUCCUCUUUCACCUGACAUUUCUACACAAUACAAAAAGCUCUCAGCUGUUCACCAGAAGUUAACAUUUGACAUGUUUGUUUCUGUUUUCUUAUUUUUCUUUUUUUUUCAGUCUAAACACUCACAUGUCCUUAUCCUGUAGGAGCAGUUGUUUUAAUGGAUGUGCUGCCAACAAAGACACUUGGGUUUAAGUGGCUGAUUCUUGGCGACUGUAAUGGCUUUUAAUGAAAGGUUUUGUCUUUGCAAGGCCAAGGUGUUCUUUAUGCAGCUUUGGCUUUUGAAAGAAACACCUCAAAUGCUCUUGGAUUGGAUAUGAAACGUUGUCUGCUGUGGCUGUGUUUGUGUCUGUGGCUGAGGAGGCCACAGAUUGUUAGUGCAGUCAGAGGAGAUGGUGAAAAGCUCCAUCCGUGUUCAGGGUGCAGCAUGGUUCAGGCUGCUUGGAUAAAGAAGGUCUUAUCGCCAAUUACUGGAUCCAAGGAGAAAGCAGCUGCGUGUUGCUGGUGACCUCCUGGGAGAAGCAGCAGGUGACUUGACAACUUUUAAAUUGCUCUUUCGCUGUGCUGUGUGAACGGCACACGGGGGCUGCGGCUGCACCCGAGGCUGUUGCAUCACCAGCCAUGCUCUCAGCAGAGCUUUGCAGGAAAAAUGAAAGUAAGCGGUGUUAUUUGCAUCCUGAACAGUGAGCAAGUUCUCGGUAUCUAAAUGAGAGCCCUUGAAGUAAGCUCCAGAUGUUGCAGGAAGUGGUGGAGGUGACUCAGUAAAUGUCACACUUCCCUCCAAGUCAGUUCUGAAGUGGUGUCCAAAAAUAACAUUUCAUGGGCAUCUGGCUGUUUGAGAUGCCCUGCUUUUUCAUGAAACUCAAAGCUACUGGACACCUUCCUGAUUUUACACCACCUUUCUUGUCGCAAGUGUUUGCCUUUACCUUCCUGUCUUUGUUCUUCCCUGAAAAGGCAAAGAUAUGACAAGUCCUGUAGAUCUCUAAACCCAAGCGUUAACCCCUUUCAUCCUCAUUCCAUUUCUUUGAUACUUUUCCUUUAAUAUUUAUGCCCCUCGACUGACUGAUAUUUUCUGCACUGCUUCAGUCCAACAUAUUUUCCUUUGCAGCUGCCCUAUUCAGUCCCUGGUGGGGGCACUAAACAGCUGCUGGUUCAAGCAGGUAAGUGGUGCAAUAGAAGAGAAAAACCUUUCUUGUCUAACAGUGCAGGUUUCACAUGCCGGUGGGUGUUACAUGCAGGCAGUGGGAGAGGGCAACUGAACCCCACAGCCUCCCAGAUGGGGUUGAGGGAGCCAGCUAACCCCAGCCCACCUCCUCAGCAGUAAGCAAAGCAGCUGCUUGCUGUUAUGCCAGGCUCUGGUUUUUAUGGCUCUCCAUGUGCCCGUAGGCGUGCUGGCGGGGAGAUGUUUCAUGCUGUGGCUCCUGUGGCUUGGUGAUGUAGGAACUUCAGCAGCAAUGCCAGUGCGGGAUCUUAUUAAUCCAUGGCUCAAGAGCUGACCUGUUUCUUCCCUGUGGGAAAAGGGAAGCAGCUUACCCCACAGCAGAGGGAGUAAGCAGGGGUAGGAAAGUCCUGCUCCUCACUAGUUACACUGGAAACUAAGAAGUCCCAAGAAGAAAGGGAAAGGGAAGCUGGAGUACAAAGAAGUCCUAAAGGUUGUAUUAGGGUAGAAGAAAAAAGUGUGGCCACAGCAUUCCAAAUCCUCUCUCCCUGAAUGCAGAGCUAGGAAACUGGGUGACACAUGGACAGACCUGCAGCCAGAGAAGCAUCAGCUGUUUGUGCAUGGACACUGCAGGCUGUGGGUGCCAGGCAGGCAAAGGUAUCUUUGCUAUUCUUCACAGACGAGGCUAAUAAACUUCUGUAACUGCUGUCUAGUUUAGAUUUUGCAAACUACCACUUCUGGUUUUAUCUGAGCCUCAUCUGAGAGUGACUUCAAGGCAGUUGUCUAACCACAGGGUAUCGGCUCCUGCAACUACAGCAGUGCUUCACACCGGCUUUGGUACCUCCUUGAAGUUAACCCCAAUGCACUAGUGCAAGGGGGGGGUCUCAACCCCAAUCCACUCCAGUCCCAAAGAAGCUGUCUUGCAGUGGUGGGUUAGGUGCUCGGUCCUGGAGACAGCCUUGGCCAUGCUGUUAGCUGCCCUGGCUGGUGGAGAUGGACAACAUGCCUGGAGGCUUGCUGGGGCUGCUGUGCUGGGGGCAGAGCUCUGCAGAGGUGCAGCGGGGUGGGCACAGCCCUCCCGGGUGGCAGGCAGCAAACUGCAUCUCAUGCCAGCAGUGAAAUCACCCCGGUGCCCCUUGCCUUGGCAUGAACCGUCGCCUCUCGCUUUCACAAUGACAAGGUUUCACAUCCUUCUCACAGCAGCUCCUUUCUGGAGCAGCCCAGGCUGCAGGCCAGCCCACCCACCGGCUCCUGGAGAAGGCUGGGGCUGAGCUGGGUGCCCCCACCACACCACCUCCAGCCCCAUGGCCAGGCCUUUACACUGCUGUGAGGUGAGUGCUUGGGGCUGAGGAGAACCUCCCUCUGUCACUGCAGCCUGCAGGAACACUGUGGGCUGGGAAUGGAGAUGGGGA